rnacentral:rRNA from 2 species
ACGUGGGCAAUCUGCCCGUAAGACUGGGAUAACUCCGGGAAACCGGGGCUAAUACCGGAUAAUCCCGACUCUCUCCUGAGAGUCGGUUGAAAGAUGGUUUCGGCUAUCACUUACGGAUGAGCCCGCGGCGCAUUAGCUAGUUGGUGAGGUAACGGCUCACCAAGGCGACGAUGCGUAGCCGACCUGAGAGGGUGAUCGGCCACACUGGGACUGAGACACGGCCCAGACUCCUACGGGAGGCAGCAGUAGGGAAUCUUCCGCAAUGGACGAAAGUCUGACGGAGCAACGCCGCGUGAGUGAAGAAGGUUUUCGGAUCGUAAAACUCUGUUGUUAGGGAAGAACACGUACGAGAGUAACUGCUCGUACCUUGACGGUACCUAACCAGAAAGCCACGGCUAACUACGUGCCAGCAGCCGCGGUAAUACGUAGGUGGCAAGCGU